rnacentral:lncRNA from 10 species
UUCAGGGCUUCCUUUAUACUGCUUCUCAGAAAGAAGCUAUGUCUUGAAGCUCUCAGAUGUGAUCCAAGUGAAGGCUUCUUAGUAUCACCACGCUAACAAAGGCAUCCAUUGAGAGGUGAUGUUGGGAUGUUUACCAAUUUUCUGAUUCCAAGUAUGGGUGCACAGUGGUCCUGUGUCUUGGGGAUGUGGCCUUCCCAAGUGUUUCUGUUUCUCUCUUCAAUUCUCCCACCCUACCCCCAUUCCCUUUCCUGACUGCAGAGUUCCCAAUCUCAUUUCUUGACUCUUUCUUCCCUAAUGAUUGGGCUUGUUUGCUCUUUUAGUUGAGAUACAAAGAUUAGAGGAAGGCCUGGAAUGGGGCAGAGUUGCCUUCCGUAGAUGAGAUUUUAGUAUUUCCCUCUGGCAAAGUCCUUCUUCCUAAAGGUUAAGUCCUUAUAAGGGAGAAUCAUCUGGGGAUGGGUGGUGUUUCACAAUGGCUUCUGUUCCACUUCUCUGUGGGCAUCACAUAGUGGGUUUGUUUGGAUCCUCCCUGCAAAAGUCUGGAAUAUAUCCUGAAGCAAAAGCAUAGAAAAUUGAGCUCCCUCUGUCCCCUACCAAAAAACAAACAAACAAAACUCUACAGAUUCCAGGAGCUUCUUUCAUGCCAGUCCACACUUAGAUUACAGCAAUUUACCCAAUUUAUUAAUUCUAUGUUCUACAAGUUUAUGGCAUCUGGCAGCUUUUGCGCUAGGUAAGCAAAUCUCAGAUCCUGUACUCUCUGGAGGCAACUUCUCUCCAAAUUGUGGAGUGACAGUUUGCCCCAUGACCUCAGUUAUCUGAGAGGUCCAAGAAAACCUGUUGAACUUUUUCUUGUUGUAAGGAUGGAAAUGAUGAGUAAAUGUUGAACAUAAAACUGAAAGUCUGGGCAUGUAUUUCUUAAUAAUCUAAUGCAUGUAAUUUUUUUUCAUAUUAUUAGUAGGUAGUUUAAACUUAAAUUCAGUGCCCUUAAUGGAUAUUGAUGUGCGCCUUUGUUAAAUUGCAUGGUGAUUUUUUUUGGUAAAAUUUCCAACAUGCACGUAAAAAUUAUUAACUUUCUGGUUAGGUAAAGUGUAGAGUGACACAUACUGUGUAAGUCAUAUAUGUCAUGCAUAUAUUACAUUAUAUGUGUGUGCACAUGUACAUAUGACAUGUGUGUAUAUAUGUGUGUGUAUGUAUGUGUGUGUCUGUGUGUGUGUAUACUGUAUAUAAUUCCUAACAUCAAGAUUGUUAAAAUCUUUUAUAUAUUUAAUGAUUUUAUUUGUUAUUUAAUUCAUC